rnacentral:rRNA from 1 species
GGGUGAGUAACACGUGGGUAACCUGCCCAGAAGCAGGGGAUAACACCUGGAAACAGAUGCUAAUACCGUAUAACAGAGAAAACCGCCUGGUUUUCUUUUAAAAGAUGGCUCUGCUAUCACUUCUGGAUGGACCCGCGGCGCAUUAGCUAGUUGGUGAGGUAACGGCUCACCAAGGCGACGAUACGUAGCCGACCUGAGAGGGUGAUCGGCCACACUGGAACUGAGACACGGUCCAG